AGAAUCAACGCUGGCGGCGUGCCUAACACAUGCAAGUCGCACGAGAAAGGGGAGCAAUCCCUGAGUAAAGUGGCGCACGGGUGAGUAACACGUGAAUAAUCUACCUUCGAGUGGGGAAUAACUGAGAGAAAUCUUAGCUAAUACCGCAUAAUACCUACGGAUCAAAGCAGUAAUGCGCUUGAAGAGGAGUUCGCGGCAGAUUAGUUAGUUGGCGGGGUAAUGGCCCACCAAGACGAUGAUCUGUA
rnacentral:rRNA from 1 species